GCAAGAAGAAGAAGAUGCCUCACACUCCUGCUGCUGUGAAGCGCAUUCACAAGGGUUCUAACAGUUAGGACACUGCGUGAAUCAGCGAUUUUGUUACCAUUGCCAUGCAUUAUACGACCGACAAACUGCAACGGUUGGAGUUAAAAAUCAUCAUUUGUGUUCUACUGAAGAAACAAAGUCACCUACAUCUUGGAUGCCCUACGGGUGCCCUAGGGAUGUGCGACGUGAGAAAAGGGGAAGUACAGUGAGCUGGAACAGGCCUGGCCAGGAAGACACAUCACCGUCUGUUUGCGUUUAAAGCGCAUGAAAGGAGAGCUGGGAAUUCGCAAAUCUUAGUAAGAUAAAUUUAGCCGACUCAGCAAAUACAGCAAGGCCAAACAGUGGUGCGGAGAACGAGGGAGCGAUUGCAUUUAUGACUAAUAAUAGCUUGUCCAUUGCCUUGAAAUAUGGCAGCAUGUUCCAAGUCAGUGUCGGGGGAACGAGUAACCCACCGGUCCUUGAACUGUAUUGGGCAGUGUUGAGCUGUGCUGAAUGAAGCUGUAAUUUGCUCAGCUGCAGUCAAGCUUACAUAAUCACUAUAUGAUGCCUGCCGAAGUGCCUUCUAAAAUUAUAGUGAUAAGAGAGAUGAGU